UGCGGUUAAACAAAAUUUAAAUUAAAUUUUUUUAAGAUUUAAUAAAUAAUAUUCAAAUAAUGAAUUAAAUAUUAGAUUAUUAAGUGAAAUUUUAAUUUAAUUAAAAUUUAUUAUUUUUUUUUAAUAUUAAUAAAUUUUAUUUAAAACUAGGAUUAGAUACCCUAUUAUUAAAAUUUAAAAUUAUAAUCUUAAAUAGUAGAUAUAUUUAUAUUGAAACUUAAAUAAUUUGGCGGUAUUUUAGUUCAUUUAGAGGAAUCUGUUUAUUAAUUGAUAAUCCACGAAUAAAUUUACUUAAUUUAUAUAAUUUUGUAUAUCGUUGUUAUAAAAAUAUUUUUUAGUAAGAAUAAUAUUUCAAAUUUUAUAUUAAAAAUUAAAUCAGAUCAAGAUGCAGAUUAUAAUUAAGAGUAUAAUGGAUUACAAUAAAUUUUAUUUUUGGAUAUUAAUUUUAAAAAUUAAUUGAAAUUGGAUUUAAAUGUAAUUUUAUUUAUAUUUUUAAAAUGAUUAAAAAUUAAAAUAUGUACAUAUUGCCCGUCGCUUUCAUAUAUAAAUUGAAAUAAGUCGUAACAAAGUAGAGGUACUGGAAAGUGUUUCUAGAAAGA
rnacentral:rRNA from 1 species